rnacentral:rRNA from 1 species
AACGAACGCUGGCGGCAUGCCUAACACAUGCAAGUCGAACGAGACCUUCGGGUCUAGUGGCGCACGGGUGCGUAACGCGUGGGAACCUGCCCUUAGGUUCGGAAUAACUCCCCGAAAGGGGUGCUAAUACCGGAUAAUGUCUUCGGACCAAAGACUUAUCGCCUUUGGAUGGGCCCGCGUUGGAUUAGCUAGUUGGUAGGGUAAAAGCCUUCCAAGGCGACGAUCCAUAGCUGGUCUGAGAGGAUGAUCAGCCACACUGGGACUGAGACACGGCCCAGACUCCUACGGGAGGCAGCAGUGGGGAAUAUUGGACAAUGGGCGAAAGCCUGAUCCAGCAAUGCCGCGUGAGUGAUGAAGGCCUUAGGGUUGUAAAGCUCUUUUACCCGGGAUGAUAAUGACAGUACCGGGAGAAUAAGCUCCGGCUAACUCCGUG